rnacentral:rRNA from 1 species
UGGGGAAUUUUGGACAAUGGGCGCAAGCCUGAUCCAGCCAUGCCGCGUGUCUGAAGAAGGCCUUCGGGUUGUAAAGGACUUUUGUCAGGGAAGAAAAGGCUGUUGCUAAUAUCGACAGCUGAUGACGGUACCUGAAAAAUAAGCACCGGCUAACUACGUGCCAGCAGCCGCGGUAAUACGUAGGGUGCGAGUGUUAAUCGGAAUUACUGGGCGUAAAGCGAGCGCAGACGGUUACUUAAGCAGGAUGUGAAAUCCCCGGGCUCAACCUGGGAACUGCGUUCUGAACUGGGUGACUAGAGUGUGUCAGAGGGAGGUAGAAUUCCACGUGUAGCAGUGAAAUGCGUAGAGAUGUGGAGGAAUACCGAUGGCGAAGGCAGCCUCCUGGGAUAACACUGACGUUCAUGCUCGAAAGCGUGGGUAGCAAACAGGAUUAGAUACCCUGGUAGUCCACGCCCUAAACGAUGUCAAUUAGCUGUUGGGCAACUUGAUUGCUUAGUAGCGUAGCUAACGCGUGAAAUUGACCGCCUGGGGAGUACGGUCGCAAGAUUA